AAAUGAUCUGACUUACUCACAUCACAAAACGAUGACCGCACAAGUUCUGUGAAACAUCUAUCAUCUCACACAGAUACAAAAUAAAAUAGAAAAAAAAUAUUUUCCCUUGUGAUGAGAAUUCUUAGGAAUUACUUUAUUAGUGACUUUCAUAUGUAAUAUACAGCAGUGUUAAAUCUAUUUACCAUGCUGUACAGUAUAUCUCAAGAACUUAUUUAUCUCAUAACUGGGAGUUUAUACCUUUUGACUACCUUCAUCUAAUUCCUCCUCUUCCCGCCCUGCCCCCUGGUAACCACAAAUCUGGUUUCUUUUUCUGUGACCUUGUUUGUUUGUUUUUGAAGUAUAAUUGGCUGACAGCACUAUGUUAGUUCCUGUUACACAGCACAGUGAUUCAAUAUUUCUACGCAUUUCAAGACUAUCCCCACGAUAAGCCCGGUUACUGCAUGCCGUCGUCAAAGUCACUGCGCAGUUCCUGACUGUAUUCCCUACGCUGCAUGUUUGACGCCUGUGACUCCCUCACAUUGCACCUGGAGUUUCCCUUUAGCAGCUUUCAUGGCUGAGCAGAAUCUACUGAGGUUUGAGGAAAACAUCAAGUCCACCAUCUCCCCAGACUGCCAGCCUUCUGAUAAAAGGCACCUCUCCUUUCUACCAACAUCUCUUCCCAACAGGGAUCGAACUUGUACUCCCAGCACUGGAAAGCAAAGUCUUAACCACUGAACUGCCAGGGAAGUUCUUGCUGCUGCUACUAAGUCACAUCAAUUGUGACCGACUCUGAGAGACCCCAUGGACAGCAGCCUACCAGGCUCCUCUGUCCACAGGAUUCUCCAGAUCCCUAACUGACCUGAGACCUUAAGAGCCAACUGAGAAGACUGGGGAGUAAUCUCUAUGUAUCUGGAAAUUUCCUAAAGAAAAAAAUUUAAAUUUAUAAGAAAAAAAAGAAAAUUUGUUGGCGUAUUGAGUGCUGCACUUUCACAGCAUCGUCUUUGAGGAUUUGAAAUAGC